rnacentral:rRNA from 1 species
AGAGUUUGAUCCUGGCUCAGGAUGAACGCUGGCGGUCUGCUUAACACAUGCAAGUCGAACGCACCUUUCGGGGUGAGUGGCGGACGGGUGAGUAACGCGUGAGAAUCUGCCUUUUGGUCGGGGACAACCACUGGAAACGGUGGCUAAUACCGGAUGUGCCUACGGGUAAAAGAUUUAUUGCCAGAAGAAGAGCUCGCGUCUGAUUAGCUAGUUGGUAGGGUAAAAGCCUACCAAGGCAUCGAUCAGUAGCUGGUCUGAGAGGAUGACCAGCCACACUGGGACUGAGACACGGCCCAGACUCCUACGGGAGGCAGCAGUGGGGAAUUUUCCGCAAUGGGCGAAAGCCUGACGGAGCAAGACCGCGUGAGGGAGGAAGGCUCUUGGGUUGUAAACCUCUUUUGUCAGGGAAGAAGAAAGUGACGGUACCUGACGAAUCAGCAUCGGCUAACUCCGUGCCAGCAGCCGCGGUAAUACGGAGGAUGCAAGCGUUAUCCGGAAUUAUUGGGCGUAAAGCGUCCGCAGGUGGCACUUCAAGUCUGUCGUCAAAGACCGGGGCUUAACCCUGGAAAGGCGAUGGAAACUGAAAGGCUAGAGAGAGGUAGGGGUAGAGGGAAUUCCCAGUGUAGCGGUGAAAUGCGUAGAGAUUGGGAAGAACAUCGGUGGCGAAAGCGCUCUACUGGACCUCAUCUGACACUCAGGGACGAAAGCUAGGGGAGCGAAUGGGAUUAGAUACCCCAGUAGUCC